UACGGAGGAUGCGAGCGUUAUCCGGAUUUAUUGGGUUUAAAGGGUGCGUAGGCGGGCUGUUAAGUCAGCGGUCAAAUGUCGGGGCUCAACCCCGGCCUGCCGUUGAAACUGGCGGCCUCGAGUGGGCGAGAAGUAUGCGGAAUGCGUGGUGUAGCGGUGAAAUGCAUAGAUAUCACGCAGAACUCCGAUUGCGAAGGCAGCCUUCCGGCGCCCUACUGACGCUGAGGCACGAAAGUGCGGGGAUCGAACAGG
rnacentral:rRNA from 1 species